UUAUUUCCCAAGAGUAGGUCAAGUUUGGCACCUUCUCUUGUAGGUAAUUCCCCUUUUUAAACGAUAUAAUAUCCUCAACAGGAAGAAGCCCUGUGUGGAAAUAUUACAGUCCCUCACUGCAAACAUUUCAUCAAAUCUCCAUUUUCACUCCACUUCACUCAAUGUUCAGUCUGCGCUCCGACCUAGCCCACAGGAAACAAUGCAGUACUGUUUACCCUCUGCACAUCUGCACUGCUUUUAAUAAAAACACCCUUCCACCCUGUCCCUAUGCCGCUGAAUAGAGAAAUACAUUCCACAAGCCUUCAUUCGCAGUCUCUGGCCCUCACCUGUGGUGACAUUCAGUUGGAGUUUCAAAAACUGAGAGGAGAUCUCGUUGAAACGUUGAGGAUUCUUAAGGGGUUUGACAGGGUCAAUGCUGAAAGGAUACUUUCCCUCAUGGGAGAGUCGAGAGGGCAGAGUCUCAGAGUAAAGGGGCAUCAAUUUAAGUCUGAGAUGGGGAGGAAUUUCUUUCAGAGUCUUUGGAAACCCUUGCUGCAAAGAGCUGUGGGGACAGUGUCCUUGUGCCUGUGUAAGGCUGAGAUGGAGAGAUUCUUGAUCAAUUUGGGAAUGAAAGCUACGGGGAGAAUGCAGGCAAGUAAACGUGAGGAAUGUGGGAUCAGUCUAUCGAGUGGCACAAGGCUCGAGGGACCAAAUGGCCUACUCCUGUUCCUAUUUCUUACGACUUUGUUAACGAUCCUAGUUCCUACUCGAUUUGUGAAUAAUCCCUCUUGUAGACUGAGAUACAUGGAGCUUUAUUUUAACUGGAGCCAAUCAGUCAGUAUUGAUGCAGACUCAGUUUUGCUGCAAAUAUCCACGUGUUUUCUGUAUGGAUCAUACUUCAUUGCAUAACACUAUAAUAAAUAGCAGUUAGCUUUAUAUAAACAUUA